rnacentral:lncRNA from 1 species
AUCUCUUUCUCUCACAUCAUGCACAUUCAUUCAGGAUGAUAGGUACAAUAUGGAUAACUCGAAAAACAAACUAAAAAUUUCAAUAUGAUGUGCAGAAAGAAAUUGUUCAGAAUUGCAAAAGGAGGUGAUCUCAAAGUUAUUUUGCACUAACCACUCAGCUUCUUAACAUCAGGUAAGGUAAUCAAGUACUGUAAUAGAAUUGCCAGAUUAACCCAUUUGUAUCUUUUACAAAUGAAAACAGUAGUACUUUCCCGUAUCAAAUGACACUCUUAUCAGACAUGCCGGCUAUCUGGAUAGAUGAAACAUCAAUAGUUAGUUUUUUGUUCUUGUGAAUUAGUCUCACAAAAUUAAGAAACAUAAAGUGCAAAAGAAAUAAAUUCAGUUUUUCUGUUGCGUGAGAAAAAGGAAAGAACACAUAAACAAUAUGGCUGUUCUCACCUUGCUGAUUUGAAACCCCAUCUCUUCAGUGUGCAGAAUCAAUGUAGACGAUCCGUAGCAACACCAAGAAUCGGUGUCCAGAAUCAGUAUACGCGAUCUGCAGCAGCACCAGUCGUUUAGACAAGUAUGUAUCCAAUUAUCCACCAUAUUUAACAUUACAAUCAACAAAAACAAAAAAGUAACUCAGGAAUCCGCAAGUACGAAUAGGUAGAGUGAGAUGAUCGAUCUCAUGUAUCAGCUGAGAGUGCAAACAAAAGAUUCAGUUGCAGGUCUUGAUAACUAUGAAAGUCUAGGAUUCAGCAAUCGGUUGUGUGAAUUUUGUUUUGCAACCCAGUGCGUGAAGGUUUGAAGCCCUGAAUCAAAGAUAAGCACUAAAACAAACUGAUCUAAGCAAUAGAAAUAAAACAAAAAAUAUGUUUCGUCCGAUGAAGAGCUGCAACAUGACUAUAGAGCGGAUGCCAAAAUCCAAACCUCAACUUUGCAUCACCGACAAGAGCAAAGAGAUCUUCUUGUCUAGGAAGCUCGUCCUCGUGCACCAUCAAUUCCUCACUGAAUAUAACAAAUUGAUCCAACAAGUUAGUGAUCCUAAAAGAUUAACACAACAAUCUUUGAGGCAAUAACACAAGCACCUUGUGCAACGGAGAGUGAUGGAGGUGUCAAAGGGCCAAGGGGGAGCGCGCCAGUGCUGCGUGGGGGCAGCGGGG